rnacentral:rRNA from 1 species
AGUGAACGCUGGCGGUAGGCCUAACACAUGCAAGUCGAACGGCAGCACAGUAAGAGCUUGCUCUUACGGGUGGCGAGUGGCGGACGGGUGAGGAAUACAUCGGAAUCUACUUUUUCGUGGGGGAUAACGUAGGGAAACUUACGCUAAUACCGCAUACGACCUACGGGUGAAAGCAGGGGAUCUUCGGACCUUGCGCGAUUGAAUGAGCCGAUGUCGGAUUAGCUAGUUGGCGGGGUAAAGGCCCACCAAGGCGACGAUCCGUAGCUGGUCUGAGAGGAUGAUCGGCCACACUGGAACUGAGACACGGUCCAGACUCCUACGGGAGGCAGCAGUGGGGAAUAUUGGACAAUGGGCGCAAGCCUGAUCCAGCCAUCCCGCGUGGGUGAAGAGGGCCUUCGGGUUGUAAAGCCCUUUUGUUGGGAAAGAACAGCAGCAGGUUAAUACCCCGCUGUUCUGACGGUACCCAAAGAAUAAGCACCGGCUAACUUCGUG